rnacentral:rRNA from 1 species
UACGUAGGGUGCAAGCGUUGUCCGGAAUUAUUGGGCGUAAAGAGCUUGUAGGCGGUUUGUCGCGUCUGCUGUGAAAAUCCGGGGCUCAACCCCGGGCCUGCAGUGGGUACGGGCAGACUAGAGUGCGGUAGGGGAGAUUGGAAUUCCUGGUGUAGCGGUGGAAUGCGCAGAUAUCAGGAGGAACACCAAUGGGCGAAGGCAGAUCUCUGGGCCGUAACUGACGCUGGAGGAGCGAAAGCAUGGGGAGCGAACAGG